AUUGAACGCUAGCGGGAUGCUUUACACAAGCAAGUCGAACGAGUGGCGGACGGGUGAGUAAUAUAUCGGAACGUGCCCAGUAGCGGGGGAUAACUACUCGAAAGAGUGGGUAAUACCGCCUACUAUUGGAGCGGCCGAUAUCGGAUUAUCUAGUUGGUGGGGUAAAGGCUCACCAAGGAAAAGAUCCGUAGCUGGUUGGAGAGGACGACCUGCCACACUGCAACUGAGACUCGGCCCAUACUCCUACGGGCGUCAGCCGGUGGGAAUUUUGGACAAUGGGGGAAACCCUGAUCCAUCCAUCCCGCGUGUAGGAGAAGUCCUUCAUGUUUUUAAGUACUUUUGUCUUAUAAGCGUUCUCUGCAUAAUAAGCACCGGCUAACUACGUGCCAGCAGCCGCGGUAAUAC
rnacentral:rRNA from 1 species